AUCAUCAAAGAGAUUUCUAUUUUAUAUACGGAGGAGCUUUAUGCUCCAGGAAAUGGGGAGGCCAUCUGGGCUCUGCUUAUCCAGAUGGAGCUCUGAUUGAAUAUGUGAGAAGAUGAGGGAAACUUGGUUGCAGUGAACAUGAUCUGUUUGGAGUCAGCAUGGGGGUGCAUCAAAGGUGGUGGUGAAACAAAGGGAUUACUUUUCCCACCCAGCGUGUUCAAGGGAAGGCAGUCCUGGAAGUAAAAAGACAAAGACUGAAAGAUCAGCUUCCAUUUCCUCAAAGUGAUGAUGAUGUUACUGGAUGCUGCCGUUGGCCAUGUGUCUCCUUGGAAUGGGGAUUCGGGGAGAAAUACAUAGCGAGUCAAGCCAUUAGCAUGUCAGCACCAGGACAGCCGGCUCCUCGGCCCAGCUGCUUUCCUUGAGAUCCAAAUCAUUCUGAGUUUCCCGAGCCUGAAGCUCUGGCUGACACCGGACACCAACCUAUGAGACACAUAGGUGGACAAUCCAAGAAGGCUGUGCCUGGACUUCUGACCUACAGAAAUGAUGAUCAUUUGCUAUUCAGCUGGGGCUAGGCAGCCCUCAUGAUCCUCGUGCUGCUGUCCAAACAGCUGAGAUUGCAGGGAUAAAGAACAUGGGAGUGAAUUUCCAGGAAGAAGGCAUUUUACCUGUUCCUUCUGCACAGCCAGAGAACUGCUAUCUACUUUUCUUUUCCAGAGGCUUUGGUGAGAAUGUUUGUCUGACUGUUGGCAGCCAGAACUGAGACGGUAGAAGCAGGAGGAGGAGGAGGAUGCCGAGGGACACUUCCAUGAAAUGGCUGGAUUUCUAGGAAUCAUGAAAUAACCACUGCGAUUUUCUUGUUUAUUAUGUUCACGGUGAUGUCCUCUGAUUCUCAGAGUAGUGUAAUUAUGAAGCAGAGCCAGUAUCGAUAUUUUAAAUAUGGGCAACCUACUUCAGACAGGUGAAACAAUUUGCCCAGGGUGACACAGAUGGGGCAUUCUGAAUGACUGGAGUCCACAGCUGAUGGGACUUGCAAGCAAGUGUUUCUCUUUCUCUUGUUCCUCAAACUGCUGAUCAAAGGAAUCACCCACAGGGAUGUGAUAUCUGGUUGGAAUCCUUUUUAUUUGUAAAUGUGUAGCCUGAUGAGGGAAAAAAAAAAUGCACUGAGGAUCAGGCCUGUGGCUUUGGCCCUCUCCAAAGCCUGUUAGAGAUCACAUGCUUUCUUUGCAUGAUCCAUAAAUGUCUAGACUCUGUUGGCUGUCUUGUUGCCUUGGUGCCUAUUCAAUGCUCAGCUGUGGGCAGCAGACAGUCACUCCAAAUGCUGAGAACCCGCAAUCACAAAGACCUCAGCAGUUUUGAGAUACUAUUGACAAGUGAAGGUCACUAUUUGGUUAGUUGUUCCCUCCUGUUUGAGAGGUCAUCCCUAAAGACAAGGCCACAACUUGCAUCCCAUGCAUCCUUUGAGCAGGUUAGUGUUUCAAGGCAGAGUGAGAAAAUUCUAGAACCUGAAGUUGGCAGCCCAGCUAGCACAUUGGAUGUGUUUACAUUCUUAAGCCUGAACUGUGGUCAAAACUGGACACAGCUGUCCUUUCUCAAGGAGAUUUCACUUCCAGACUGUGUGUUUGGAUUUCAGCUCAUUGUUUAAUAUUCUAGAACUCAAGCUGUCAUCUUGAGGCAGGAAGGGUAGCACUCGGCUUAAGAUGGUCGGGAGGUCCAGGUUUCUCACUUUCACGUUGUUUCUUUGUUUUUCUUACCAUUUGCCUGCAAACUCAACAAAACUGAAGCUCAGUUGAAACACAGGCUGUUUUUACACACUGUGGGCUGAAAAGUUGAUUUACUGAACAGUAUGCGGAGUUUCCAAGAAACAGAAAUAGCCACAGAAAGUUUUAAAAAUCUGCGAAAUAUGACAGGAUUAUGAGGGAAAAGAAAUCUUAUGAGAGAAUCCCAAAGGGGUGCUAAAGCUCUUCAUCAAUGGUCAUUCCAGACCAUCUUGUAAAUGCCCUUGAUACAAUAGCUGUUAAGCGGGAGAGCUAAAACCAGCCCCCUUUGCUGUGACAUACCAGGCUGGGGCACUUCUAUUCUGCUAUGAUUCACAAGUGUUGAUUCAAAAUGUUGGAAAGGUGAUUAGCAUUUGCCAAGUCCAUGCUUUGUGAAUACACAAUGCUGGACACAGUGGACAAUAAUGGCUCUCUCCCUUCUCUCUGCUGUAGGGCAUAUACAUGCUAUCCUGUGAUGGAAGUGAGAUUCUGAGGAGAGUUAAAGAGCUUCACGCAGCAGCACCAUGAGGGAAGGGAUGAGCUCAUUUGAGUUGCGGCAUUUUGAAAAGCUCCUUGGUGGUGUGAUUCAAAACCAAUUUGUAGAACCUGGAAGGAGUAAAAUUAACUGAAUGGAGAGUACUUUCUAGAAGGUCUAAGGUAAACCAGAUUCUAUAGUAUGGAGAAAUAAGAGCCAUGCAUAGGCUUCUCCUUCACCCUUUUUUACCUAAAUGUAUACAAAGGUGGCAUUCCCAUCUUGCCUUGAAGUUAAGCAGUGUUCUGGCAGAUGGAAAGUUAAGUGACAUAUGUCUUUUCUUCUAAGAUCCCUGGGUUUUCUUGGCUAAUUGAAUGCAGAGAAUCCAACAAAUGGCUGGGAGGACUUCCCAGAUGGUUAUCCCAUCAAAUGGAAGGAGUCAGCACGCUGGGAGCACAAUAACCUGAUCAGGGAGAAGGCAUGAGUGAACCACUCCUCAUACGUGCUGUGGCAGCGUGGGGAUGGAGCGCUACAAAAGUGUGUCUGACAAAUCCUGGAAAUCUCCAGGAAAGAUUCAUUUGCAAGAGUUAUGGUAAUAGUCAUCUUAAAUAGCAAGAAGGGUCAAAUGAAUAGAUGUCAGGGCUAGGAAAAAGGUAAGACUCUCUCUUUCCUCCGUGAGCCAUUUCUGGCACAGGGUCAAGUUUAUGCAGCAGCUUAACUUGGGGUUGUAAGUAAAAAUGAGAAGCAAUGAAGGAGGUUUACUCUGCCAAGGAGUGUUCCCAGACAUUUUAUAGCUUACAGGAAAGGAGGAAGAUUGUGCUAUGAGGGAGAUCUAAAGCUUUCUGGUUAAGGAAUACCACCUGGCUCCUUUUUGAGACAGGAUCUGGUAGCCUAGAACUUACU